CAGCAGCCACGGUAAUACAGAGGGUGCAAGCGUUAAUCGGAAUUACUGGGCGUAAAGCGCGCGUAGGUGGUUUGUUAAGUUGGAUGUGAAAUCCCCGGGCUCAACCUGGGAACUGCAUCCAAAACUGGCAAGCUAGAGUAUGGUAGAGGGUGGUGGAAUUUCCUGUGUAGCGGUGAAAUGCGUAGAUAUAGGAAGGAACACCAGUGGCGAAGGCGACCACCUGGACUGAUACUGACACUGAGGUGCGAAAGCGUGGGGAGCAAACAGGAUUAGAUACCCCCGUAGUCCCUGUCUCUUAUAA
rnacentral:rRNA from 1 species